rnacentral:lncRNA from 12 species
UGUGUGAGGACUGAAUGAGAAGAGGCAUGCAAAGUAGUGCACUGAACAUGGUAGAUGUUUUGAUGAUUUUUUUUUUAGUUCUUUUUUUUUUUUAAGAUUUUAUUUAUCUAUUUGAGAGAGAGGCAGAGAGCGCAGGAGUGAGGGGGAGGAGGAGGGAAAAGGGAGAGGGAGAAGCAGACACCCAGCUGAGCAGGGACUCUAUCCCAGGACACUGGGGUCAGGACUGAGCGGAAGGCAGAUGCUUGAUCAAUUGAGCCACCCAGGCGCCCUUAUUUUUACGAUUUCAUUUCACUGCCACAACAGCCUGUGAGGCAUUGAGGAUUUAUUUUGGUUUGUUUUCUUGUUUUAGAAGGGUAAGGAUAUAGAAGUUUCCCCACUUUUCGGAAGUUUGUGGUCUACUACUUCACUUUAUGAAAGACCUAUGUUAGUACCUGUUUUCUGUUAACCAAAAGAAAUUAGAAGAGGAGUUUCACUUUUAUGAAAAAAGCAAAAAUAGCAUUAAGUGUUUGUUUUGCAGUGAGGUGUUAAAGACGCAGCAUGCCCCCCAGCAGCCAGAGUGGCCGCACCAAGCUUCUUCCCUGGGAACUCCUCUCAGCAUCCCAGCAUCAAGCUACCAGAGCUUGGAACUGUGCCUGAGCCGUGGAACCAAACAAUCUUCUCUUGGUAACUCAAGCUCCUUCUGUCACUCCUGCGCUGGGCUGAUGGAAUGCAGAGGGCGUUUCCCCUGCACUAACCCCCCUCAAAACUGCUGGGAUCCUGAGUUCUUCCAAGAGCUUUCCUGCCCCUCCAUGUCCACCACGAUGCUAGUAUUCGACUUCUCUCUGUAGUCGGGGCUGCAUGGUGCAUAGAGGAGUCCGACUGACAUGGGUUCAAAUUCCAGCUCACCAUAAGACUCUAGGAAAGCUGUCUAACUUCUCUGAGUCUCAGUUUCCCCACUGGAAAAAUAGGGAUGAUGAUAGCUUCUCUGCAGAUUUGUGUGAGGCUUACGACCCUAGCACAGUGUCUAGCACUGAGUAGGUGUUUAACAAAUAAUAGCUACAGUUUCUGCAGGUAGGGCAUCCUGACCGCUUUUUCAUAGUUCAGAAAUAUACUAGAAACAUAAAUAGUAUACAUUUGAAAAUGAUAUUAGCGACCAGAAAUAAACAUCCUUACUGUUGAAGAUGGUGGAGCCUC